AACUGAUACUACCUGCGGGAACCUGCGGAGGGAUCAUUACUGAGGAGGGUCCAUGGCCCGAUCUCCAACCCUUUGAUAAAAACACCAUGUUGCUUUGGCAGGCCCGCCCGUUGGGGCCGCGGGGGAUCGCCGGUCCCUAGCCCGUGCCUGCCGGUAGCCUUCACAAAACUCUCAAAAUGUUGUCGUCUGAGAUGAUUAGAAUAAUAAAACUUUCAGCAACGGAUCUCUAGAUCGGAAGAG
rnacentral:misc_RNA from 1 species